rnacentral:RNase_P_RNA from 1 species
CGAGUCGACCGGGCGGCCGCGUCAGGGUCACGGCCCUGCCGAGGAACGUCCGGGCUCCACAGGGCAGGGUGGUUGUUAACGGCAACCCGGGGUGACCCGCGGGAAAGUGCCACAGAAAACAGACCGCCGCGCCGACGGCGCGGUAAGGGUGAAACGGCGGGGUAAGAGCCCACCAGCAUCCCGGGUGACCGGGAUGGCUCGGUAAACCCCACCUGGAGCAAGGCCAAGAGGGCUGUCGCCGCAAGGCGGUGGCCUGCGCAGGCGGUUGAGGGUUGCCCGCCCGAUGCCUGCGGGUAGGCCGCUAGAGCCUGCCGGCGACGGCAGGCCGAGAUGGAUGGCCGCCGCCUCCCGCGAGGGAGGUACAGGACCCGGCGUACAGGUCGACUCGUCCG